GUUCGCUUAUGGGUGCAUGGUGUUCAGGGCCAGGGCAAGUUUGUUUACCUGUGUGGAUGGUUUUCAGCACCAAGGACAGGUAUGUUAGCUU
rnacentral:pre_miRNA from 1 species